rnacentral:rRNA from 1 species
GAGUUUGAUCCUGGCUCAGAAUCAACGCUGGCGGCAGGCUUAACACAUGCAAGUCGAGCGGGCGUAGCAAUACGUCAGCGGCAGACGGGUGAGUAACGCGUGGGAACAUACCUUUUGGUUCGGAACAACACAGGGAAACUUGUGCUAAUACCGGAUAAGCCCUUACGGGGAAAGAUUUAUCGCCGAAAGAUUGGCCCGCGUCUGAUUAGCUAGUUGGUGGGGUAACGGCCCACCAAGGCGACGAUCAGUAGCUGGUCUGAGAGGAUGAUCAGCCACAUUGGGACUGAGACACGGCCCAAACUCCUACGGGAGGCAGCAGUGGGGAAUAUUGGACAAUGGGCGCAAGCCUGAUCCAGCCAUGCCGCGUGAGUGAUGAAGGCCCUAGGGUUGUAAAGCUCUUUUGUGCGGGAAGAUAAUGACGGUACCGCAAGAAUAAGCCCCGGCUAACUUCGUGCCAGCAGCCGCGGUA